CAAUCAGCAAACUAUAUAAACUACAUUGAAUAAGAACUUUCCUGCAGCAAGUUUUCGAAUUUAGUCAGCGUUUUCUUCCAAGGAAAGAAUUUUUUAAUUUGUUUUGGUCAUAUGGACACAAAGAGAAUAGUCUUUUGGAGCCAUAAGAUUUUUUAUUCCCUCAAAUAAUAAUUCGAAAUACCUAAGUUUUCCUUCGAUUUAACUACAGCAUUAAUGGUAACUUGGUUGUGAAUGGGAAUUGAAGUUCAAAUUUGCUGUCAAUUUUCCAACUUAAUGAAGUGUUCGCUUUUACCGUUUCGGCAAAACAAAACUUAAUCAAAUCGAGUGAUUCCGUAGAACUGCACGGUAAAUUAUGCAAUUUCCACAUAAAAUUACAGUCAUAUGUGACCUCCAUAUGGGUCGAUUGACCAUCAGCGAUGAUAACCAGAUCAUGGACACUUAACCCAUCUGUUCGCAAAAUUCGUCACAAAACAGUUCGAUUGAACUUUUAGAAACUUAGAAAGGAUUAUCAUCGAGCCAAACAAGCGCAUUGAAAGGAAACGCUGCCGAAAUGUGGUACUAAUACCAUACGGCAUCCGAGUGCUUUUGUUGGGUCACAUCCGUAAGAACAAACUAGUGAUGGUAUGCAUACUGAUCCACCUGUAUUGACCGUAAAGCCAAUGAACUGUGUGAUUGCUGCGGUACCAUCUGACAAUCGCACGUUGAACACCGUUUAUAUCCUCGUAUAACUAUCGGAUAUUUAUGUUUUAUGGACUGGGAAUGGACGUCGACAAUAAAGACUAGCUGAUGGAUCUGCUGAGCGAAGCCAGACAAUGGAGCGGAUUUUAUUUAUUCAAACGACAGGUGAAAAAUUCAAAAAACAGCAAGGUUACACUUGACAACGUUACAAGCCUUAUCAGCUGCUCAAGGUCUCCCACUGUUAUUGUUUAUAAUCUAAAUUAUUAACCAGUGCGCUUCACGUUCCAGUUUAAACAGCCUCCACCAAUUUUUUCGGUUUUGGAAAGUUCGUAAACGGCGUUUUAAAAUUUAACUUGUAAAACAAGUAGAAAGCGAAAUAUUGGCAGAAUUAUUCAAAUCAAGAUGCGUUGCGACUAUAAUUAAUCGGCGUUUUUUACCAAAACCGAACCCACAAACGAAGUCGUGCGAAUUAUUUGGUUGAACAUCGCGGAAACAGAAUCCUCUUAUUAUUCAUUAUAAACAAACAAAAAAUUUCAGCGUGGGUGAAUGAUUGGCGCUAUCGCCGGCAGAUCGCAUAACAAUAGAGAUACCUAUUUAUGGGCCAUAUUUGGGCAAAAGCCAUUUCGCAUUAUAAUAGAAAAUUAUGUAAUUUUUGUAGCAAUUAACUUUCCUAAUUCAUUUUAUCCCAGCUGAUUAGUUCAAUUAAGAAGUAAUUGUUGGACAAGUUGUUAUCAAUGAAUGAGGAAUUUUGGACCAGUGCCCGAAAGACACACGUGGCUCAUUAGGCUAAUUGUUCAAAGGUACAAGACCCCAAAAUGCCAGAAUUGUAAUAAUUACAACUUGAAAGUAAAUCUGCCACAAUCACAAAAAAUUGUAUAUUAUACAAAAACUGAUUAAUUAGUUUAAUAAAUAAUAUUACCCAGAUUUCUCCGAUAAAUUAAUCUCCAGAUAAGAGAUUUAGUCGAGAAAACACGAUUCACUGAGACAAAAACUCUGAUAACCGGCGAACUCACUCGGCAUUCACAACACAAAACUAAACUUGCUGGCUGGGGUCCCCACAGCACGGUCUAAAGUCAGGUGAAUGUGUCUCCCACUACCAUAUUUACCUGGACACCUAUCUCUAUCUAACGCACUUAUAGAUGAAGAUUGGCUUUGAGAAGAAUGCAAGAAGGUAUUUGCAUACUUUUGACUUCGUGCAACUCGACGCGACGGGAUAACGAAUCAAAUAAGAAAGUUUUUGCUAUUUUAUGCAUCCGUUAAUUUUUUCGGGACGGAAUGGCGGAUGAGCGCCCAAAAUGGGCCGAAGAAGGUGGUGUAGUUUUGAGAUAAUUGGGUCCGAGCGUAGGUUUUAUAUUUAUGCGAAAUGGACCUAGAUGGUUGUAGCAAUUCCAUUAAAUAAAUAAUGUUGUAAUGA